rnacentral:rRNA from 1 species
AUUGAUCGCUGGCGGCAGGCCUAACACAUGCAAGUCGAACGAGUGGCGGACGGGUGAGUAAUGUCUGGGAAACUGCCCGAUGGAGGGGGAUAACUACUGGAAACGGUAGCUAAUACCGCAUACCAUCGGAUGUGCCCAGAUGGGAUUAGCUAGUAGGUGGGGUAACGGAUCACCUAGGCGACGAUCCCUAGCUGGUCUGAGAGGAUGACCAGCCACUCUACAACUGAGACACGGUCCGGUCUCCCACUGUAGGCGGAAGUGGGGAAUAUUGGACAAUUGACGCAGGGCUGAUGCGGCAAAGACAAGUGUAUGAAGAAGGACAUCGGGUUGUGAAGUACUAUCAGCGGGGAGGCGUUAGUCGCAGAAGAAGCACCGGCUAACUCCGUGCCAGCAGCCGCGGUAACAC